GAAUUCGCCCUUAGAGUUUGAUCCUGGCUCAGGACGAACGCUGGCGGCGCGCCUAACACAUGCAAGUCGAACGAGAGAGAGGAAGCUUGCUUCCUCAAUCGAGUGGCGAACGGGUGAGUAACGCGUGAGGAACCUGCCUCAAAGAGGGGGACAACAGUUGGAAACGACUGCUAAUACCGCAUAAGCCCACAGCUCGGCAUCGAGCAGAGGGAAAAGGAGCAAUCCGCUUUGAGAUGGACUCGCGUCCAAUUAGCUAGUUGGUGAGGUAACGGCCCACCAAGGCGACGAUUGGUAGCCGGACUGAGAGGUUGAACGGUCACAUUGGGACUGAGACACGGCCCAGACUCCUACGGGAGGCAGCAGUGGGGGAUAUUGCACAAUGGGGGAAACCCUGAUGCAGCGACGCCGCGUGGAGGAAGAAGGUUUUCGGAUUGUAAACUCCUGUCGUUAGGGACGAUAAUGACGGUACCUAACAAGAAAGCACCGGCUAACUACGUGCCAGCAGCCGCGGUAAAACGUAGGGUGCAAGCGUUGUCCGGAAUUACUGGGUGUAAAGGGAGCGCAGGCGGACCGGCAAGUUGGAAGUGAAAUCUAUGGGCUCAACCCAUAAAUUGCUUUCAAAACUGCUGGCCUUGAGUAGUGCAGAGGUAGGUGGAAUUCCCGGUGUAGCGGUGGAAUGCGUAGAUAUCGGGAGGAACACCAGUGGCGAAGGCGACCUACUGGGCACCAACUGACGCUGAGGCUCGAAAGCAUGGGUAGCAAAACAGGAUUAGAUACCCUGGUAGUCCAUGCCGUAAACGAUGAUUACUAGGUGUUGGAGGAUUGACCCCUUCAGUGCCGCAGUUAACACAAUAAGUAAUCCACCUGGGGAGUACGACCGCAAGGUUGAAACUCAAAGGAAUUGACGGGGGCCCGCACAAGCAGUGGAGUAUGUGGUUUAAUUCGAAGCAACGCGAAGAACCUUACCAGGUCUUGACAUCCGAUGCAUAGUGCAGAGAUGCAUGAAGUCCUUCGGGACAUCGAGACAGGUGGUGCAUGGUUGUCGUCAGCUCGUGUCGUGAGAUGUUGGGUUAAGUCCCACAACGAGCGCAACCCUUAUUGCCAGUUACUACGCAAGAGGACUCUGGCGAGACUGCCGUUGACAAAACGGAGGAAGGUGGGGAUGACGUCAAAUCAUCAUGCCCUUUAUGACCUGGGCUACACACGUACUACAAUGGCGUUUAACAAAGAGAAGCAAGACCGCGAGGUGGAGCAAAACUCAAAAACAACGUCUCAGUUCAGAUUGCAGGCUGCAACUCGCCUGCAUGAAGUCGGAAUUGCUAGUAAUCGCGGAUCAGCAUGCCGCGGUGAAUACGUUCCCGGGCCUUGCACACACCGCCCGUCA
rnacentral:rRNA from 1 species